UAUGUGCACUCUCAAAAAUGAUGUGUUAAAUAAUUACACAUUUUUUGUGUUAUCACAAUUUUAACACAAUUUGUGUUAUUUUGUGUUGUUAAUGUGUUAUAUUACUGGAAUAUACUGCCCAACACAAAAUGUGUUAAAUUAUUGGCCAAUCCCUGGUGUCCUGGAUGAGCCGUUACCCUGAGAAGAGAAGUUAUUUUUCUCAGCACUUCAUUUUAUCUUGGCGCGCACUUGAAGAAGUUGGAAGGUGGCACUGGCACACAGUGGAUGUAAAUGUCUGAAUAAAAGGUAAGGUAGACCCAUGUCUUCAGACGUAUUUGUUAUGUUUAUUUUAAAGACUGUUGCAACUUGCAAUAUUGUAAAGGUUAAACGAUAAUAAACUAAAAUAAAGUCCAGCAUCGAUUGUUAGCCAAGUAGCUCUAGCAGCUAGGUUAUUGAUAAGCAAUCGUUAUGCUAGACUAGUCCAUGUUAAGUCAACCCUGACCUUACAUUAACACACUUUGAAAAACACUGCCACACUCACAGAAAUGAAUCAUGGUAGAGUUUAUAUUUAUGCAUAUACAUCUAUUAGAUUUUAUUUAAAUUAAAUCUUUUUUAAAUGUAUGUAUUGAAAUUAAUUAUAAUCUGUGUAAUUCUGUCAAUUCUAAAAUAUAUUAAAUGUAAUUACUUAAUACAUAAUAAAAUGGUUUAAAUAAUCAAAGCUGUGAAACAAACACGAUUCUUUUACUUAAAAUGUAUGGGAUUGGUGCGCAUACAAUUAAGGCUACCGGUAAGUGAAGCGGAACAGGAAAUGCCACCCUCGUUUUCCACUGGACGCCAUCUUCCCAGCUCAGGUGUAAUGGUGCUGUGUUAUGUGGCCAUGCAGAUUGUGUGACAGUAUAUUAUCUUCAAGGUAUAUUCGCACAUGCAAAUAUCCCUGUAUUUAUGUAGAGUGUCCUUGCACAUUCACAACCUGGAAGAAACUUUUGACUCACAUAUAUCGAGAACACAGAAAGCUAGAAACAGCAGUUGCUCAGUCAACUACAUUCAAAUGUCAGACGUGUGGGUGUGAAGAACUUUCAACUGAGAAAGAUUACUUUAGUCAUACUUAUCAACAUCUUAGACAGUAUGAAAAUGUAACUUGUAUGUUUGAGGGAUGUGCAUUUCAGACACAUGUAUAUGGUACUUUUAAGUCACAUAAAAAUCGUAAACAUAAUCCCCACAGUCUAUCAGAUUUUAAGGCAGGUGUAGUUAAGGUCACUGUUCAGUCUGCUAGUCCUGAUGAUAGGCCCACAUCUUCUGCAAACAUAGAUGAUAGUCAGUCCGAUGCAGAUAGUGAUAUUGAUUAUUCAGAGGACCUUCCUGAAGUAGUAGAAAAAAAACUUGCCUCUGUUCUAUUGAAAUUAGAGAACAUUUGUCAUGUUCCAUCUAUAGCAGUAGAUGACUUGGUUGAAGAGCUACACUACCUGCUGAGUACAGUGUCUGUGCCGAUAACUAGGAGCAGGCUCUCAGAUUUUUUCAAAAACAAAGACAUUGAGGUUGAUGGUGUUGUUGUUAAUGAAUUAGCUGAUUUACUAUGUAAAUCGAAUCCUUUGGUUAAUGCACUGGGGAAAGGUGGUGCACUUUCUACAGCGUAUAAGAGAGAAGAAUACUUAAAAAAAGUGUUUAAUGUUGUGGAGCCUGUAGAGUUUGUUCUAGAUCAAAAAAAUUGCAGGUCCUUUCAAUAUAUCCCAUUACUGCGAUCGUUGCAGCAGAUACUUGAUUCUACUGAAGUGUUGAAUAGAGUUAUUGAUACCCACAGAACACAGAGCAGUAACACUGACCAGCCUGAAAACCAGCAGUAUCGCUCCAUAAGAGAUGGUGUGUACUUCAAGGAAAACCUGUUCCUCUCAAGUGAUGAUUUAAAACUUUGUUUAACCUUAUACAUUGAUGACUUUGAAUUGUGUAAUCCUUUGGGCACGUCACGAAAGAAGCACAAGUUGUGUAGUGUAUAUUAGAUUCUGAAUAACUUGGCACCAGGCUUUCACUCAGCACUCACCUCAAUUUAUUUGGCAGUUUUGUGUAAGAGUGACGAUGUAAAGGCAUAUGGAUAUGAAAAAAUUUUGGAGCCACUUUUACAUGAUCUUGUUACACUAGAAGAGCAUGGUGUGUUCAUUCCAAAGCUUGGAGCUUUUGUCAAAGGAACAGUGCAUAGUGUAAUUGCUGAUAAUUUGGGCGCCCACGGUUUGGCUGGUUUCAUAGAGAGCUUUUCUGGGCAAUAUAUUUGCCGAUUUUGUACUGCUCAGAAAGUAGAAAUACAGUCAAAGGAUGUUCAUUCAGGUGCUUUUUGUCUACGAACCAAAGAAAUACAUGAAGCACAUCUGAAGAUUGCACAGGAUACUCAAAAUAAUUGCUUUGGAGUGAAGAGAGCUUGCCCUUUAACUAAACAUCUUCAACAUUUUCACGUCAGCACAGGCUACCCCCCAGAUAUAGUACACGAUUUGUUUGAGGGCAUUGUCCCAUUUGAACUAGCACUGUGUUUGAGCAUUCUGAUCUCGAAGAAGUUCUUCAGUUUGGAUUCUCUUAACACGCGUAUACUCAAAUUUCCUUAUAAGUGGAGUGACAAAAAAAAUCCACUUGCCUAUUCCAGUAGGAAAACGAUAGGUGGCAACUCCCAUGAAAAUUGGUGCCUCAUACGUUUCCUUCCAUUUCUCAUAGGGGACCUUAUACCAGAGGGUGAGCUGGCUUGGCAAGUGAUACUAGACCUGAAGGAAAUCGUAGAGUUGGUUGUGGCACCUGUUCACACGCACAAGACCAUUGCGUACCUUGAUGUCAAAGUGUCUGAGCACAGACACAGGUUGCUUGAGCUUAUCCCAGCACCAUUUUGGGGCGUUCCAGUUGACAUUGUCACCAGGAAGAGAGGUUGCCCUUGUUCAGCUUGAGGAGCUUACGGAUUACUGUCCACUUGGGGCUACACAGUCGGAUCCAGACGUAUGGUGACCCUGAAGAGACACAUCGUCAUUACAGCCGAGCUGGACACCCCAAGGUUGCCAUCAACUCUCUGAAAAACAAGCG